rnacentral:rRNA from 1 species
CCAAUAGCGUAUAUUAAAGUUGUUGCAGUUAAAAAGCUCGUAGUUGAACUUCGGGGUCUACCCAUUGGUCAGGCUUAAUUGUCUGCACUGGUGAGAUGGAUCUCUACCUUCUGAGGAACUUUCAAGCCAUUUAUUUGGUGUGAUUGGAAAUCAGGACUGUUACUUUGAAAAAAUUAGAGUGUUUAAAGCAGACUAUCGUCUGAAUACAUUAGCAUGGAAUAAUGAAAUAGGACGGACUGAUUCUAUUUCGUUGGUUUCUAGGAUCACCGUAAUGAUUAAUA